rnacentral:lncRNA from 1 species
UGUAUAUACACAUGUGUGUAUAUGUGUGUAUUAUACACACACACACAACACAACAACACACAUCCUGUUCUGUAACUCUGAAGAAAUCUAACACAAUACUGUAGGUAUUCAAAUUUUCAUUAUCAUAAUUACUUUAUUUUAUCUUUAUCUUUCUAGCAGUGAAUAUCACAGAUUAUUGACUUCAUUUGGAACAUAAAUAAGUUAUUCCAAGUAUUCUAAUAUCAAUAAAAUAUUAUAUGAAAUAUUUACAUACUUAAGGACUGAAUCUUGACAAAAGUAAAUGACUUUUUUUAGGUUUGAUCUUCGCAGUGGCCUGUGGCUAAGACUGAUAUUAAAGGAAGAAUUAAAAUCCUGAAUCAAUCAUGAACUUUAAAGUUAAGAUGAAUUCAAGGAUAUCAAACUUGACUGCAUAAGAGAGUAUCAUGUUUGGAGAGAAGAAAUAAUUUUAUUGCGAGACACAAAGUGGUGUCUGUCACUUAAAUCCUUCACCAAUCUACCUCCUGUACUCGUGGAAAAAAAGGAAUCAGGAAGAGAGCAGCAGAAACCCAGGGGUUACCUGAGGAUAAUUUAGGUCUUUAUUAUGUACAUUCUCAGCUCACCGCUGUGCAGAAUUGGUAUGAAAAUCAAUUCAGGUUAGUCUUUAUUAAGCUCCCUUACUUUAAUAAGCAGUUGUCAACACUAUAUUUCAUUCUUUUUUUCUGAUGCAUGCAAACAAAUUUUAUUACCUUCCUCUCUCCAC